rnacentral:rRNA from 1 species
AACGAACGCUGGCGGCAUGCCUAACACAUGCCAGUCGAACGAGACCUUCGGGUCUAGUGGCGCACGGGUGCGUAACGCGUGGGAACCUGCCCUUAGGGUCGGAAUAACUCCCCGACAGGGGUGAUAAUACCGGAUAAUGUCUUCGGACCAAAGAUUUAUCGCCUUUGGUGGGGCCCGCGUUGGAUUAGCUAGUUGGUAGGGUAAAAGGCUACCAAGGCGGCGAUCCAUAGCUGGGCUGAGAGGAUGAUCAGCCACACUGGGACUGGGACACGGCCCAGACUCCUACGGGAGGCAGCAGUGGGGAAUAUUGGACAAUCGGCGAAAGCCUGAUCCAGCAAUGCCGCGUGAGUGAUGAAGGCAUUAGGGUUGUAAAGCUCUUUUAACCGGGAUGAUAAUGACAGUACCGGGAGAAUAAGCCCCGGCUAACUCCGUG